rnacentral:rRNA from 1 species
UACGAAGGGGGCUAGCGUUGCUCGGAAUUACUGGGCGGUAAAGCGCACGUAGGCGGCUUUCUAAGUCGGGGGUGAAAUCCUGGAGCUCAACUCCAGAACUGCCUUCGAUACUGGAAAGCUCGAGUCCGGGAGAGGUGAGUGGAACUGCGAGUGUAGAGGUGAAAUUCGUAGAUAUUCGCAAGAACACCGGUGGCGAAGGCGGAUCUCUGGGCCUUACCUGACGCUCAGGCG